rnacentral:pre_miRNA from 2 species
AGUGGGAUUGCUGGGUCAAAUGGAAAGUAUAUGUUUAACUUUAGGAGGAACUGCCAAAUUGCUUUACAGAAUGGCUGUAUCAUUUUGCAUUCCCACAAGCAAU